CUUUGAUGGUGAAAAGGUUGGAAAAUAUUAUCUACUCCAACCCUGCAGAGGAUGCAACUGAGGUCCGAAGAGGGAAAGAGACGUUCUAAGGUUGCACAGCAAACUGUGGACAGAUAUCAAAUUUGAACACAAGUCCCCAACUCCUAGACCAGAGCACUUCCCACCAGGCCACCUGCCCUCUCCGCCCUCCCAGGGACUGCAGAGAUGCUCAUACACGUCCAGGUAUAACACGUACGGAGCAUGACAUCAACGCCUUACGUUGUUCUACAGCAGCAGUUCUCAGAGUGCGGUCUGAGGAUUCCUGGGCAUAUCAGAGCCCUGCCAGAGGCUGCUUACAUUUGUGUCCCCUGAUGGACGAACACACCACCACCUGUGGAGUUAUCCGCCAGAAUGUGGAACCUGAAUCACAUCUGCCUCCUGAUACGGAGACACAACCAAACUCC
rnacentral:lncRNA from 1 species